UUUAUUAAUAAAAUCAACGAUAGCUCUUAAAUACUUUCGUGAUCUAUACGAAAUACUCACACACAUAUAUAUAUUGAAUAUCUUCCAAUUCCUACGUAUAUUUUUAGAUUUGUUUCAAACUUCAUCAAUAAGAUCAUUGUUGGUUACGUAAUUCUCGUAACAGCGUUAAUGAAUUUCAAAAUGUUUCGUAUGACACAUAUAAUAUAUUCAUAAAAAAUGUGUACAAGUGUUGGAAUAGUUUUAUGAGUCUGUGUAUCGAUAAAUGCGUGUUGGAGUGGCGGCUUCUCGAGAAGCCUGACACGGACAGGCAACGAGCCACGGAACGUCGUCUGUGCUUCGUUCCUUGUUCUUUUUCUUUUUUUUUUUUUCUUUUCUUUUUGUUUCUUUCUUCCGGUUGGUUCGCUGUCGCUCGUGGCUGGUGUAUCAAGAUUGAUUUAUGCCGGUACAUCUAGUGGGCGGUCAUCGACAAAAUGUUGUGGGACGUAUUGUCGAUGCUGUGUAUGACUGGUAUGAUUUGUGUCGAGAAUAUAGUGGGUGAGAUUGAUCGUGAGUUGGUCUUGAAUCGCUGAAUGCGCGGCGGAUAAUAUUUAGCAGCGAGUUUGCUAUGGUUUGAGGGUGUUUGGUGUUGUAAUGCAAGUGUGGGACGAGAGUUGGUGGAAGACGACUUGCGUGAUUCUACGUCCUUAAACCUUCUGACGUGGAUUGUUUUUUCGUACUUAUCGAUAUUGUUUAAAGCGUCAAAAUUUGUUUAAUUAAUAAUUUAAUUUAAAAGCCGUUUUAUUGCGACCAUAAAUAUUAUACAUACUUUUUAUUCGAAAAAUCUGACAGUUUCUCCUUUACUUAGCAUUUUACAUUUUAAAGCACUUAUGAUAAGAAUGAAAGAACAGAUUUGUAUUAGGUUGUCCGAAAAGUUUUUUUCGUUUUAUAAGGAAAUAAUAGACGCACAAUGUUUUUUGUUUUAUAUUAGUUUAUUGAAUUAUGCACGAACAUAAUGAUAGAAAUAUAACGAAAUAGAUCAUACCUAAUUUAAUAAAAUAAUAAAAAAAAGAAAUUGUUGUCCAUCUAUUAUCAUCUUAUGAAACGAAAGAAACUUUUCGGACAACCUAAUAGCAAAAUAACUAGAAACUAAAAGCAGAGAAGAGCAUCUAAUUUAUAUUAAAUAUGCCAGUGUAUAUCCGUGGACUAAAUAAGUUUUUGGUGACUUUAUGGAUUAUGGAUAUUCAAAGCUACAACGCAUAAUUUUACUGUGAAAUAUUAAUUAUAUUGAAUCUGUAAACAUUCAUUAGCCACAGAAAUAGGAUUUAGUAUAUUCGUAUUGCGUGAACGUAUCGUAUGUAUGUAUUCAUUGGCCCAAGAAAAUAGAAUUAGUUUGCACAUAUAGGCGUGGUUGAUGAGAUUGGAAUAGUUCAUUUCAACGAUAUGUUCGUCAACAGUAUGCUACAUUUUUUAUUAUUGAGGUUGAGGUCGACUGAUUGAAGAACGAGUGAAUGAAUCUGUAAUGGAAAAGUAUAUUGAAAUAACUAAAGGUAUAAGUUUAUGCUGAUUCAUAUCCUUUCUCUCUUAGUGUUACUAGACAAUGGAAUCGAUCGCUCAUAUAUUUAUAUCAAAAGGACAUUACCAAAAAAGCUAACCCUGUAGCUUUAGCUAGAGGCUACAGAGAACAUAAAUAGAAAUUUGUUUAUUAGUUCUUUUGUUCUUAGACCUUGCAAACCAAAACAUAAUGUAUAUUCAAGGGUACAAUGAUAUGCACCUCUCCUUAUUUAGAAUAUUUCUGAAUAAUAGCAGUCUGCAGGUCAUGUAUGUACAUAAAUAAAGAUGUAGAGUUUUUCUCGAAGUAGUUACUUCAACAUUUAUGAUGGAAAAAAUUAAGUCUACCGAGAGAAUAUGAAACGAAUGUUCGCUGGAAGUUGGGAAAAUAACCGUGCCGAUGAAGUGUGGAAUUCAAGGAAUGCAAUAAGAAUCGAAAGCAACUGAUCAUAAAUCACUGUUUCGUACGAACGUGUAAUCUGCUAGAACUUCAACGAGAUUACACAGGGGGCUAAUAAAUGACGACUUAAAAAACACUCGAUUUGUUUCCUUAAUUUAAGUUAGAAAUCAGAAAAUUGCAAGAAAUUCCUGUUAAAUUUAUUUUAGAAAGUUCUCUAUCAUUGAGCACAGAAAAAUUACGAACUAUGGAGACAAAAACUUCGCAUCUUUAAAUGGAAAUAAUAAGAACAACUGAUCUGAUAACUGUACUGGCCAUCCAUUAACAGCUAGCAUAUUAGAAAGAGGAUAAGAUUAUUUACUAUGAAUAUAAUAAAUCAAAUACUGCAAUGUAAAAUGUAAAAUACAUAUUGUUCCAGGUUGGCCAUUAAACACAGUAGCCAAAGAGAAAUAUCCAGAGUUUCGUAAUAAAACAAUAUUAGAUUAAAAAGUAUAUCAAUCUUCAAUCAUCAGUUGGCACGUACUAAUCUAUACUAUCUAAAAUAUAUUCAAUCUUAGUUGGUACAUUCUAUUCCAUCUAAUACCAUCGUCCGGAUAUCGUUUAUCUUGAUACUCUUAAUGUUACAAAACUAAAUGAGAAACCGAAUGAACGCUGGUAACCUGUAAAAGAUUAAAAGAAUUCAUUCUUUAAAAAAAAAAAAAAAUACAAAUUAUAACGUUACUUAGAUUAUAAUAAAACGUCGUAAAGAAUUGUAAUUGAUUUCACAAAGAUAGCUCUCGAACAUUUCUUACAUUUUACUGCGAAACUUUCGAACAGAUAUUUUGUAUCGAAUUCAAUUGUGAAUUAAAAGUAUACGAAACCACCGUUCGAUCGGCGAAGAACGACUAGCAAUAUCGAAUUUGUUUUGGUACACAAAGCGUACAAGUACCCAUAGAAAUCCAUCAAAUGUAAAAUCAGCUGGUUGCAUCAUGCCGCCUCCGCCGCUGGUGCAGCAGGAGGAAAAAAUUCUUUUAAAACUAGUCAUAGCGCAUACAUAUCCCGCAGAAACGAUCGUGCGUUCGAUGUGUAGAAGAUAUCGAUGAUGCAACGAUGCAUUUCCAAGGUAUCUCAACCGAGGACGCCAUUACUGUAAAAUCGAAAAUACCCGGUUCGUCGUAAAAUUCAAAUAAGCGUUCCCGGUCGAAAGUGGUUCGGUUGCGUGGUAAAACGUAGCAUUUAUUUCGAUAAAAUCGCGAAACGAGCGACCGGAAACCAUCGGGUGUUAAUAACCUUGGCCUGUGAAAUCGAGCUGCUGAAAAAUUUACUUGCAACGUGUGUUUGUUACAAAGAUAGAGUUUAACGCUUCGAGCGUGCCAGCUAGAAAUAAGCUGCGAUCCAAGUUCCACGGGAAUGGUUUAAUAUCAAUCUAUUCUUGACUACAAUACCUUUUUCCAUGAGAUACUUGCUACGUGCUUGGUGUUUCUAGUCAGUUGGUUUGGAAUUUAUAAUAUAGGGUCCUGAUCUUCUUUCCUUUUUCUUGUUUUUUCUUGUUCUCAAUUAAUUAGGUACAGUCGUAUCAUUCGCUAUAGCGAUGACUCACAUGCACAUUGGCGACUCACAAUCAGCCGAAAUCAUCGGUUGAAUUUCUAUAUUUGGAAGGGGGUGGUAUGUUUCAGAUUACUAAAAACUUUAGCAAUUGUAGGAUUUUAUAUAGAUUUUUAUAAUUAGGGGGAAAAAGGAUAUUAAAGUGUAAUCUAGCAGUGGAAAAUUUGUUAUAAUGUAAAAUGAGAUACGGCCCAUGGUUUUCUAUUAAGAAAUGGAUUAAAAUUAAAUUAAAUCGCCUUUAGAGGGAAUUUGAAGAUCUAUUUUCAUAAAAAUUAUCUUUCAUAGUUAGCGACACAUGAGAGAAGUAAAUCAGGAUAUUAAUAAGUAGAUAAUAAGCAACAAUGUUUGAAAUUAUAAUAUUAUAGCAGACGUAGAAAUAAUAUAUUAAAAAUAUAUAAACAGUACGAACACACAGUGUUCAAUAAUCAUGCAACAAUUGUAAAAUGCAAUGUCUAAUCCCUUAUUUUCCUUAUUAUUGACGUAGAGUGAUCAAUAUCCAUCUUGUUUAAACGUUUCGAAAAUGCAUAAUGUAUCAACGUAGCAAUAAAUCAAGACCUGUCGGUUUACGUAUAUCGAAGAGAUUAUAUUCAGAAAAUUUAUGGCUAGGUAUUAAACGUAAUUUACUGCAUUUAGUCAGUAACUUUUCUUACACGAUUAUUCUUGGAAUAGAUGUUAAAAUGUAUUAGGAUAUUGUUGGUAUCUUGCAUAUUAUUAUUAUAGAAAAAUGACAUACCACGCUAAACGAAAGGUGAAAUAAUAAUAUAUGAAAAUGACUAACAAGAUAUUACGUUUAAUCUGUAAAAAAAUCUUAUACCGUUACGUAUUGUACAUACUUUGAUUCGCUAACGGUUCAUACUACUGUGUCCGUAUAUAAUUUGCUCAAUCUACUAGCCAACGUUAGGUUAAAGGAGCAAGCUAGAUGACAUGAAUUAUACUUCUUGUCUCCUUUUUAUGUAAAAUUUCAAUUAUAAAGUAACUUUUUGUAAAUAAAUUAUUUGCACAUUUCAAUCUAUAGAAAAUACGCUUCAUAUAAUUCUU